rnacentral:rRNA from 1 species
GGAGUUUGGGCCGUGUCUCAGUCCCAAUGUGGCCGUACACCCUCUCAGGCCGGCUACUGAUCGUCGCCUUGGUGGGCCGUUACCUCACCAACUAGCUAAUCAGACGCGGGUCCAUCUCACACCACCGGAGUUUUUCACACAGGGCCAUGCGGCCUCGUGCGCUUAUGCGGUAUUAGCAGCCGUUUCCGGCUGUUAUCCCCCAGUACAGGGCAGGUUCUCCACGCGUUACUCACCCGUCCGCCACUAAGCUUAAGCUUCUUUGACCGAAGUCUCCAAAAAUAAGCUCCGUUCGACUUGCAUGUGUUAGGCACGCCGCCAGCGUUCAUCCUGAGCCAUGAUCAAACUACU